AUUGAACGGUGGCGGCAGGCCUAACACAUGCAAGUCGAACGGUAGCACAGAGAGCUUGCUCUCGGGUGACGAGUGGCGGACGGGUGAGUAACGUCUGGGAAACUGCCCGAUGGAGGGGGAUAACUACUGGAAACGGUAGCUAAUACCGCAUAACGUCGCGAGACCAAAGUGGGGGACCUUCGGGCCUCACACCAUCGGAUGUGCCCAGAUGGGAUUAGCUAGUAGGUGGGGUAAUGGCUCACCUAGGCGACGAUCCCUAGCUGGUCUGAGAGGAGGACCAGCCACACUGGAACUGAGACACGGUCCAGACUCCUACGGGAGGCAGCAGUGGGGAAUAUUGCACAAUGGGCGCAAGCCUGAUGCAGCCAUGCCGCGUGUAUGAAGAAGGCCUUCGGGUUGUAAAGUACUUUCAGCGGGGAGGAAGGCGGUGAAGUUAAUAGCUUCACCGAUUGACGUUACCCGCAGAAGAAGCACCGGCUAACUCCGUGCCAGCCGCCGCCGUAA
rnacentral:rRNA from 1 species